rnacentral:rRNA from 1 species
UACGUAGGGUGCAAGCGUUAAUCGGAAUUACUGGGCGUAAAGCGUGCGCAGGCGGCUAUGCAAGACAGAGGUGAAAUCCCCCGGGCUCAACCUGGGAACUGCCUUUGUGACUGCAUAGCUAGAGUACGGUAGAGGGGGAUGGAAUUCCGCGUGUAGCAGUGAAAUGCGUAGAUAUGCGGAGGAACACCGAUGGCGAAGGCAAUCCCCUGGACCUGUACUGACGCUCAUGCACGAAAGCGUGGGGAGCAAACAGG